rnacentral:lncRNA from 1 species
CUGUAGGAUGGGUUUAUUAAAUGAGAACCAGACUGCACGAAAAAUAAUAAUAAUAAAAAAACAACAACAUAAAAGUGCAGAUUUGAGCCUUGGUCCACCAGGGUCGCUCAGGUUCCAUCAGAGACUUACAGAGAGGCACACUUGAUCCAGCGUGAGACGAUUUUCACUACACUACAACUACACUAUACAUCAUACACGGUCCACUCUCAUCAUAACCAAUUAGUUCAGCCCUUCAGGAACUCCACACUGAAGCAGUCCCCACAAUGUGUUAAAUACGGGUGAUUUAAAUGUGUAAUAGAUCACAUAUAAAGAAAAUAUAUUACAUCAGCCCAGGUUAGGAGAUGCUGUGCUGUUGUAAUACAUUUUAUUUCAGUGAUAGGUCAUUUAGGUCCAGAAAAUAAAAAUGCCUGUGCAGCUCUGUUGCAGCUCUGGAUGGCUCUACUGCACCUAAUGUUGGUUCUGCUGCUGCAUGAGCGGCUCUGCUGUUGCCUGAGAGGUCUUAGAGCAGCUCAGCUUGGCUCUGCUGAUUUGUGAGAAGUUCUAGAGCAGCUCAGCCUGGCUCUGUUGAUGUCUGGGCAGUUCUAGAGCACCUCAGCCUGGCUCUGUUGAUGUCUGGGCAGUUCUAUAGAAGCUCAGCUUGGUUCUGUUUAUGUCUGGGCAGUUCUAGAGCAGCUCAGCUUGGCUGUGUUUAUGUUUGGGCAGAUCCAGAGCAGCUCAGCUUGGUUCUGUUGAUGUCUGGGCAGUUCUAGAGCAGCUCAGCUUGGCUCUGCUGCUUCCUGUGUAGUUCUAGAGCAGCUCAACUUGGUUCUGCUGUUGUCUGGGCAAGAUUUGAGCAGCUUAGCUUGACUUUGUUGAUGUCUGGGCAGUUCUUGAGCAGCUCAACUUGGCUCUGCUGCUGCCUAAUUCAACUCUGCUGCUGCCUGAGUGGCUCAAGUCAGCUUAGCUACCUCCUAGAAGGUCUAGAAAGUAAGAUUCUUACUUUCUAGACCUUCAGUAUAUCACCCACUCAAAACGAUACAUCUAGAUCAAUAAAUCUGAAUCCAGAAAACUGCUCA